CAUCCACAAGAUUUUAUGAAAUAAAAGUUAAUUUUAAAUAAAAACUAUUUCGGUUUUCCCUCUCAUGGUUUUUAUAUUAAACCAUCCCUUUAUCUUUUCUUUUCCACAAACCUUAACACCAAAACUAUCUAACAAAUAAACUUAUUUUUAAAUGUCUCAAAGUUUAAAAUAAAAGUUGUUGCUGCUUUGGUUUGAUUUCAAAUAGUUUUCAAAAUCUGGUUGGAAAACAAAAAGAGAAAAAGGUGAAACCUAGUCUACCCAGGCCUUCCUCUUUUCUUUCUCAUUCUGGCCUUUCUUUUCUCAUCCGGAGCAGCCCAGCCGCAGUAGCCGAUCUCCUCAAUCUGGCCCAUCCUACCCAUCGAAGGGGUAAGCUCCUUUUCUGGAUUGUCGUCUUCUCUCCGUGAGCACGCAGGAGUCGUGACCACUCCCAUGGCCGACGUCACUGCGCACCACCGCGCCUCCAUCUCCUUUUCCCCAUCCCUUAAAUCCCUCUCCAGCCCUCAUGAAACCCUAGCCCCUCUCCCCUCCUGCCGCCGCCACUUCCUCUGUCUCCCCUCCACCUUCUUCUUCUUCACGCAACGAAGAAAACGAACAAGGAACCAUGGCCGGCCUUACAGUGAGCUCGACCGUGCCGUCGCCAUGGGCGCUCCCUCGGCGAGCCGAGACUACCGGAAGAUGCGCCUCGCCGCCCUCGUCAUCCUCGCCAAAGGAAUCGAGUUGGUUCCGCUCCAAUCGACGCCAAGGUCGCCGUUUCUCCGCCACGGCCACCGCGCUCCGGCGAACAUUCCGGCCGCCACCGAGCUCCCCCGACCUUGCUGAGUCCUCCAACACGUUCCUGGUGAGAUUCCGCACCUCGUGGACCUCUUCUCCGUCUCCCUCCUCUUCUCAAACGACCUGCCCGCAUUGAUCUGCCUUCUCCGCCGCAGGACCUCGUCGGCGGCGCUACUCCGGCGACCCCCAGGACUCCGCACCGCCACCAACAGGUUCAUCUCGUCGAGGCGCACGUUCGACGACAUCUCCUUCGUCCCGGUUCGUCGUGAAACGUCAGGGCCGAGCUCGCCGUCCUUUUCCGCCAUGGCUGUUUAUGUCCCAGAGCUCCGCGUCACUUUGACUCAAAACGUUGCGUGCUUCCAUCUAAUCAACAUCAGACACAGCAGCCCAGUGAUCUUGUGUUAGGAACGUUUCAGUUUGUGCCUUAAAUCCCAAUCGUUUUGUUCUCCAGCUACACUGACCGGCCACGGCCAUCUCUCCCAGGCGCAGCACAGUUCCGAAGCAAGCAUUUGCCUCUUCCCGGAUAGGAUCGCGAAGUGGUGUUGUGAGAUACGACAAGUGCUUCUGCAGUUUCUCACAGGCGAGCCCACCCCUUCACCUAUUUUACUUUUACAUGCUCUUUUGAUCUAUUGCUAUCCUUAUGUUGCGAUUCUGUUGUGUCACGUGUCCUAUUCCACCUGUUACCCUAUAUGAUCCGAGAUACACCUCCUUGCCCUACCUGAUGUUUGUUGUUUGCCAGCUUUGCGAGUCGUAGGCGAGUUUAGGGUUUUGUUGAUAUCUCGAGAUGUUCGGGAUAUCUUGUUGGGAGGGUAUCACAUGCUAUAUCAAUUGUUGGAGAUACACAUGCUUUACUUUAUUGUUAACAACUAAAAUUGUAAGCAGAGGCAUCUGUGAGCCCCUUUGCGAAAGCAUCGGAACUUUGACUCGCUAAUGUCCCCUAGGAUCCGAGUUCUUGUUAUCUGUUCCGAGAUUGAGCGCUCUACCCGUACGUGGGGGAGUGGGACCCCCAUCACCCACUACCUUUCCUCGAGUCUGUUUAUUGGGAGCCACAACCUUGGUUUUAUUUGCUCAUAUGCACGAUGCACGAUUUACUUCUGUUGCCUUCGGGUGUUUAUAUUCUGUACUGUACUCAUCUCGUGGAACGAUUAGCGACAGCAGGUUGUUCACACUUAGCUUAGCCGUUGGCACAAACCUCUGGGUCCGUAUCGGAGUACGGCCGAACUUCGUCACGGGUAGCUUAGUGGGGUGGCUCCCUUAAACUUUCUCUUGCAUUGGGAACGGUCUUGAUGUGAGACUCCACCUGUAGUAAGUGGGUUCGAGCAUGCGUAUGGUUACAUUUGGGCAACCCCUGCAGGGUGUACAUCUUAUCGAUAAGCCGUGUCCGCGGUUAUGGACGACUUGGAAUUGUAUGGCUUGAUCAUAGAACAACUUACACCUUUAUGUUGUUGGUAAUAAUUUGCUAAUAACUUGAUUAGUAAUAUAGCAUUACUACAACCGAUACCUAAUAAAACUUGUCCACCGUUGAGUGCCUUUUACAUUGCCUCUUCGCAAUUGUUGAAGGGGAUAUGUGUAUUUGGCUGGGUUAUGUUUGUGUAGUAUUUAUCUGUUACCUUGUGCGCUCUCUUAUCUUCUCUGAGUAGACGGAUGUUGUAGCGUGUCUCUAUUGGAUAGUAGCUUUGCUGCCGCUAAACUCCACAUAUAGCCGGGUGAAGUUCAUACCGCCCACCAGCGAGCAUAGCUGGUCUUGUCUCGCAAGUACGUGCCAAUGGUACUUACCCUCGCCUUCCUUUCUUUUUGUCUCCUCCCCUUUUGUCGGCAACCGAUGGCCCGACUUUGACAGUACCGAGAUGACGACGUUAGCAAGGUUACCCUUCCGGCUUGGCCUGGGCAGGGUUAUGGACGCCACUGGUUAUCUUCAGGACUCUUAGUCCAAUUUGUAUCUUGUCCGUACUCGGACGCAUUUGAUCUUUUGUAUGAUUUGGAUCUUUGUAUUGUAUAUUUGUAUCUUGACUCGUUGGAGUCGUUGUUGUAAUAUAUGUAUCUUGUGGGCUCUAUUGUAAUCCUGUUGU